rnacentral:lncRNA from 1 species
UCUUAUGCAUGAAAUUCCCUUCCUUUUUCUUUCCACAAGCCCCAGCAUGUGCAGCAGUUGCACUUGUGCCGUGGCAUGCAGCAGAUUGGUGCGUUUUGGUGCCAUGGCAUGCAGCAGAUUGCUGAGUUUUGGUACCAUGGCAUGCAGAUUGGUUAGUUUUGGUGCCGUGGCAUGCAGCAGGUUGGUUAGUUUUGGUGCCAUGGCAUGCAGCAGAUUGCUGAGUUUUGGUGCCAUGGCACGCAGAUUGAUGAUUGUGAUUGUCAUGGUGAAACAUUUUGCCGGUCAUAUCUUUCAUCUUGUCAGCAUAAGAG